GACGAACGCUGGCAGCGUGCUUAACACAUGCAAGUCGAACGGAAAGGCCCUGCUUUUGUGGGGUGCUCGAGUGGCGAACGGGUGAGUAACACGUGAGUAACCUGCCCUUGACUUUGGGAUAACUUCAGGAAACUGGGGCUAAUACCGGAUAGGAGCUCCUGCUGCAUGGUGGGGGUUGGAAAGUUUCGGCGGUUGGGGAUGGACUCGCGGCUUAUCAGCUUGUUGGUGGGGUAGUGGCUUACCAAGGCUUUGACGGGUAGCCGGCCUGAGAGGGUGACCGGCCACAUUGGGACUGAGAUACGGCCCAGACUCCUACGGGAGGCAGCAGUGGGGAAUAUUGCACAAUGGGCGGAAGCCUGAUGCAGCAACGCCGCGUGCGGGAUGACGGCCUUCGGGUUGUAAACCGCUUUCGCCUGUGACGAAGCGUGAGUGACGGUAAUGGGUAAAGAAGCACCGGCUAACUACGUG
rnacentral:rRNA from 1 species